rnacentral:tRNA from 1 species
GCCACGGUGGUGUAGCGGUUAGAACCCUAGACUUGUAAUCCUGGGGUCCCGGGUUCGAUUCCCGGUGGUGCCC